rnacentral:rRNA from 12 species
GCCAGAAGUGGCUAACCAUCCUGCGAGUUCCCGAUCCUAUCAGAUCUUGGAAGCUAAGUUGGGCCGAGCCUGGUAAAGGAGAGGCCUGAGUAAAUUGAGAAGGUUACCUCAGGAAGGGCAUCUGGCC